GAGUGAGAUGAGGAAGGCCUGUCCCCGGCUCCCUUUGGGAAAGCACUGCAGAAGAGGAGAGAAGGGGAACAGACACGUUUGUAACCAUUCUCUGACUGUGCCUGCCCUUUUUACAAGCCUUCCGAAGGAACUAAGUGACCUUGCUAAGACAGUCAGGAGAUCAUGAAAAGAGGAAGGUGCUGGAGGUCCCAGGGGUAAGUUAGUGCUCAGCAACGCCAUGGAGAGUCCAGAUUCUUCGCAUCUGUCCUCAACGGGUCACCAUCAGGCCACCAGCCUGCUGCAGUACAUCUACAGGGCAACACGCCAGAACAGGGAGAGGGAGCAGGGCGCUCCACACCCCCUCUGUUCUUAGUGGAGAAGAAAACCCUUUCCAGAAGCACCUGCCCUCUACUUUCAUGGCCUUGACCACACCUUGGUCAUAUGGCGCCUCCAGUGGAAAAGUGAUGAUCUGCUCUUGGCUGGCCCUUUCUUCUGAAUGGCAACAUGAAUUUAUAUGGAGCUAGUGUAUCCUGUCCUGGAAUAAAGGCAGAGCUGACAGAGCGCUUUCAUUGAUCGAGGCCGGAGGAAGGUGUACACGGAGGACAGUGGUAUCCUGAGCAAGAAGAUAGAAACAAAGGGGGAGGCAGACCAGCAGUUAGCGUAAUGGCUAUGUCGCUGGAUUCCCAUGUAGUCGACUGAGGUUCGCGUCCCGG